rnacentral:tRNA from 1 species
GGGCCUUUAGCUCAGUUGGUUAGAGCGCACCCCUGAUAAGGGUGAGGUCGGUGGUUCGAGUCCACUAAGGCCCACCA